rnacentral:rRNA from 1 species
UACAGAGGUCUCAAGCGUUGUUCGGAUUCAUUGGGCGUAAAGGGUGCGUAGGUGGCGAGCUAAGUCAGGUGUGAAAUCUCGGGGCUCAACCCCGAAACUGCACUUGAUACUGCCUUGCUCGAGUACUGGAGAGGAGAUUGGAAUUUACGGUGUAGCAGUGAAAUGCGUAGAUAUCGUAAGGAAGACCAGUGGCGAAGGCGAAUCUCUGGACAGUUACUGACACUGAGGCACGAAGGCCAGGGGAGCAAACGGG